ACAGCGUCGGUUGCCCGGGCGAUGCGCGGCACGCGUGCAGAGGCCCACACACCCUGAAGGCGGAGCCCCGGGUCGAGUGGCUGGCUCCCGGACCACCCAGCAGUCUGGAAGGCGACUCUCUGAGGCCAGACUCCCGACCGACCGGCUCCUCCCACCUCCACACCUCCAGCCUGGUAUCAAGGCCGCUUUACAAUCAUCCUAUUCAGAGACACACAAUAAACAUUUGUAUGGUAAAGGCAACUGAUGCUGACUUCUGCAGAGACUCAAGACUUACACAUGUAUUCUAAUCCAGCGCGGUUCUCAGUUACCUUAAACAUCGCACCCUAAAUUAUGUGUGUCUCUUAAGAAACAACCAUUACCCACCUCCACCCCGCAACUGUGUAGCGCCUUAGGGCAUCAGGCUAUCUCCCGAGUCUCAUCCGGAGUCUUCCUUUGUGUCUGUUUUCUUUCUCUCUGGAAAGCCUUUUCCCUCUCCCCUCAUUUCCUGCCUGACACCAUCUGGUUGUUCUGGUCUCCACUUAGAAGCCACGCCCUCUGGGAAGUCUUUCCCUGACAGCUGCCUGCAGCCCUGCGGCGGAAGACCUGCAGACCUUGUGUUUCUUGUAAUGACUACCUGCUCCAGUUGACUUUCUAAUGUACUACAUGUGAGUUUGGAGACUUCUCGGUGUUACCUCCCUUUGAAAUGUUGGAUUACCCAUGAGGACGAUACAGAGCUCAGAACACUUCAGCCAUUGGGAAGUUCUAGGCUGGGGAUACAGGGAUGCAGUUUACUCUGUAGGGGGCUCGCCAAGCAGGUACAAAACAUGGGGUUCAAUCCCUAGCACCUCAUAACCCAGGUGUGGUGACACACACCUGCAAUUCCAGCCCUUGGGAGGUGGAGACUCUAGGAUCAGGGGGUUCAAAUUCAACCUCAAGUAUCUAUGACGUUGAAGACCGGCCUGAGUUACAAGAGGACCUGUACAGUUAUAGCGGAGUCAAUGAGGUGGCUCAGCGGGUAAAGGUUCUGGAGGCCCCUGCUGCAUAGGCAUGGGGUAUAAAUUCAAUCCUUAGAACCCACAAAAAGGCGGAGGGAGGGAGACAAGAGACUGCACAAAGCUGUCCUCUGACUUCCACGUGUGUUUAUUUUAAAUAAUUAAAAUAAAUAAGGCUGGGCUCAGCGGCAGCACACAGGCUUUUAACCUCAGUACUCCGGGAGGCUGAUGUAUCCUGUAGGUGAAGCCAUAGCUAUUUAUUGUUUGUAUCUGAUCUGUCUAAUGAGUUCCAGGCCAGCCAGAGUUACAUAGUAAGUCUCUGUCUAAAAAGUAAAUAAAAGAUGCCUGGGGAGAUGGGGGGGGGGAGGGUUGGGGAGGGAAGGGAAGGUGACAGAAAGGGGGGGGCACCUUUAAUCACAUUUGGGAGGCAGAGGCAGAUGGAUCUUUGUGAGUUUAAGGCCAGCCUGGUAUAUAGAAUAAGUUCCAGGACAGCCAGGACUACACAGAGAAACUGUCUUGAAAAAACUAACUAACAGGCAUGGUGACCUAUACCUUUAAUCCAGGCACUCCUGAGGCAGGAGCUGGUAGGUCUCUGUGAGCUACAAGCCAGGCUGGUCAACAUAUUGAAUUCCAGUCAAGGGUACAUAGUGAGGCCCUAUCUCAAAUAAACCUUAGGUAUAUUGAGGACCCUAUCUGCUUAUAACAAAUUAGCAAACACAAGGCUCAGGGCUGCUACAAACCUUGCUUUAAAUAACCUCAUACAAAACCAGGCUCUCUCCCCACCUGUUUGGCCAUAUGCAAAGAAACUGCAGUUCCUUCCUUUGCUAUCCUGU
ensembl:lincRNA Gm13830 predicted gene 13830